CAAAAUUGCCUCAGCCUUGCUGGAGCAUGUACUUUCUAAGCAGUGGGCACAGAGACAGUGUAAUUGGCUACCUCCUGCUUGUAAGUAUAGGUAUGUUAAAUGUGGGCCUGAGGGGAACCUCCAUUUUGGGUUGUAGUUUCUAUUUGAAUUAUCUAAGGAAUUCUCUCAAGAGUCAGAGAGGAAUCUAGAUAGAGACAGCACUCGUGAUAAAAUUGGUUGCCUUAACCUGCCACUUUCUUCAUGCUGGCAGAAAGCUUGAUUGGAUUGAGGGAUGCAAAGUAUUGUUCUUGGGUGUGUCUGUGAGCCUGUUGCCAAAGGAGAUUAACAUUUGAGUCAGGCAGGUAAUCCAGAGCUCAUGAAACAGAAAGACUGUCAGACCAAAUAAAGAUGCUUGGAUA
rnacentral:lncRNA from 1 species